AAGCGGAGGAAAAGAAACCAACCGGGAUUGCCUCAGUAACGGCGAGUGAAGCGGCAAGAGCUCAAAUUUGAAAUCUGGCCCCUCCGGGGUCCGAGUUGUAAUUUGCAGAGGAUGCUUCGGGAGCGGUCCCCGUCUAAGUGCCCUGGAACGGGCCGUCAUAGAGGGUGAGAAUCCCGUCUGGGAUGGGCGGCCGCGCCCGUGUGAAGCGCCUUCGACGAGUCGAGUUGUUUGGGAAUGCAGCUCUAAGUGGGUGGUAAAUUUCAUCUAAAGCUAAAUACUGGCCGGAGACCGAUAGCGCACAAGUAGAGUGAUCGAAAGAUGAAAAGCACUUUGAAAAGAGAGUUAAACAGCACGUGAAAUUGUUGAAAGGGAAGCGUUGUCCACCAGACUCGCCCGGGGGGGUUCAGCCGGCACUCGUGCCGGUGUACUCUCCCCCGGGCGGGCCAGCAUCGGUUUGGGCGGCUGGUGAAAGGCCCCGGGAAUGUAACACCCUCCGGGGUGCCUUAUAGCCCGGGGUGUCAUGCGGCCAGCCUGGACCGAGGCCCGCGCUUCGGCGAGGAUGCUGGCGUAAUGGUGGUCAACGGCCCGUCUUG
rnacentral:rRNA from 1 species